rnacentral:misc_RNA from 1 species
AAGUCGUAACAAGGUUUCCGUAGGUGAAACUGCGGAGGGAUCCAAACGUCCCCCCCCCGUGAACCUUCAUCCUGCUCUUGUAACCCGCGUAGUUUGCAAUCUCUGAUAAAUCAUAGCCCGGAAAGUUGUAGUGAUUCAGAGACCUCUGGCUACGUGCGAACAUUGGAACAGUUACAAUCGAGCGGUAGUUCUAUAGGCAAUGUUUCCCCAAGCAGUCAGAUUGUGCAAGGAUAGCGCUUCUACGAUUCCCGGAGACCGUACAUUCGGGCAGGAGCUUUGCCAAAGGGUCCCCAUGCCCCCUAAUAACCCCACAGUUUAAUGUGAAGCUCAAUGUAAUACAUUGGGUAAAAAACCCAACAACUGUGAACAAUGGAUAUCUUGGUUCUC